rnacentral:lncRNA from 1 species
AUUUUUUUGUCGCUCUCCUCAAAGGUAUAUUUUCCUUUAUUUCCACUCUCUGCUACAUACAUACUUGCCCUCUCCUUUGUGCUCUCCUACACAUAGGCCCAUCUGUCCUUUGAAAGUAGCAAGAAUGCCAGUUAUGAUCUUUGGGGGGGGGUCUUUAAGGAUGCGUUGUACGAGUGCUUACUCCCUGACUGAAGUCAAAUGCAAUGUUUUUUUAUAUGUAUAUAAAUAAUUUUUAAGCUUUCCAAAAUAUUAAUUGCUUACAGAAAUUAAACAUCUGCUAACAAUAAAAUUCCCAUACAAAUGAGAAGAUAGUUUCAGUCUGACUAAAAUGCUUUCCCUUGUUAAUUGCUAAGAAUAUCACUUUCUUGUCUUUUGCCAUGGUAAUUUCAUUAGUUCUCCAAUUAUCAAAAUAUUUCAGGCCUUUUUCUUUCAUAACAUUAAGAAAAAGGUCCAAUUCCCUUCUCCAAGUCCACUUUCAGGGUCCUGCAAAAGCAAGUGAGAAAGUGACUGAUGUGACUCGCCAGCAAAAAUUCUCAGGGCAGAGAUCAUCUCCGUGGAUUGCAGUGCCUGCCUGCACACCUCUUCUCCCUCCGUUGCCCACAGCUCCCCAGGAGUCUGCCGAAAUUUCAGAAGUUUUCUACUACAGACCACAGAAGACCGUGGCAAACAUUUAUACAAUAUACAUUAUUGGAGUAUUUCACUUCCCCUCCAUGUGACCAGCUAUGUGCAUUGAGAGAAAGUAAAUCCAGGUAAGACCUGCUAUCAGUUAUAUCUGGGUGCAACUGAAGUUUGAUCAGCAGUGAAGGUCAACAUACUGUUCUGUAUUUUCUGUCCACAAAUUACACAGUUCACUAACUGAAUGAAGAAAAAUAGCCUAGCUUCCCAUAAGGUUUUGGGCACAGAAACAUUGUAAUAAGUUGCCUGCCACAGUAUUUACUGCUGGUUUAAAACAACAGUUUAAAAACAGAAACCCAAACCCAAGUGUUUAAUUACAGCCAUGUCCAGCAUAAUCUAACUCUAGCAUAGCAUAACUAUGUAGGAUGCUAAACUCUAUUUCUUAAGCUAGGAGCCUUUCCGACAGCCAGCCAUGACUGCUUGCUCUAAAGACAGCCUGGAACCUGCUAAGCAAGAAAGGAUUAGACCAAGAAGCAUCAGCUCUGUUUCCCCAGGCAGAACACUGCUUUGCAGGCCCAUCGAAAGAGUCCAGAAACUAUUUGUGUCAGCUCCCGAAACCACAAACCACAGCUAGCCCUCCCUCUGCAGCACUUGCGUGCUGCUCCUCACAAAGCCAGGGCAAGAUAUUUUGGCAUCCAGAUCACCUUCUUUGGGGCCCACCCAUCCCUUUAGGUCUCUUUCCUCUCCUUAUCACAGGCUUGCAGUCCCUCUUCCUGGGCAGCAGCAGAAACUGGGGUAUAUUUCCCUCUGCAUUUGGCACCCUUUUUCACCAUUACCCUAUCCUUCUCUCCUCUCUCCUCCCAUGGCCCCUCCACCUUCCUGUACCAAACCAGAGUGUGAAUAUGUUUUUGUUAUAGUAGCAGGGAGUGUCCAACAUAUCCAACUGAAAAAGGGAAAAGGGAGUAAAACCUCAAGAACAGAGAAGAUUGAAAUAAUCUAUACAUACUCCUGACCCAGGCUGUAGCUCCCUUGCUGGAUUCUCUACUACUAAGAGGGGGGUAAUGCCAAGAGUCACAUCUAAGAAAUGUGAAACUGGCAGCUCUGUCAAUAUGAAACGGAAUGGGAAUUCAGGGUGCACUUGGCAUCUCAGGUUUAACUUUAAAAUAAAUAAAGCAAGAUUUGAACA